rnacentral:rRNA from 1 species
AGAGUUUGAUCCUGGCUCAGGACGAACGCUGGCGGCGCGCCUAACACAUGCAAGUCGAACGAGCGAGAGAGAGCUUGCUUUCUCGAGCGAGUGGUGAACGGGUGAGUAACGCGUGAGGAACCUGCCUCAAAGAGGGGGACAACAGUUGGAAACGACUGCUAAUACCGCAUAAGCCCACGGGUCGGCAUCGACCAGAGGGAAAAGGAGCAAUCCGCUUUGAGAUGGCCUCGCGUCCGAUUAGCUAGUUGGUGAGGUAACGGCCCACCAAGGCGACGAUCGGUAGCCGGACUGAGAGGUUGAACGGCCACAUUGGGACUGAGACACGGCCCAGACUCCUACGGGAGGCAGCAGUGGGGAAUAUUGCACAAUGGGGGAAACCCUGAUGCAGCGACGCCGCGUGGAGGAAGAAGGUCUUCGGAUUGUAAACUCCUGUUGUUGAGGAAGAUAAUGACGGUACUCAACAAGGAAGUGACGGCUAACUACGUGCCAGCAGCCGCGGUAAAACGUAGGUCACAAGCGUUGUCCGGAAUUACUGGGUGUAAAGGGAGCGCAGGCGGGAAGACAAGUUGGAAGUGAAAUCCAUGGGCUUAACCCAUGAACUGCUUUCAAAACUGUUUUUCUUGAGUAGUGCAGAGGUAGGCGGAAUUCCCGGUGUAGCGGUGGAAUGCGUAGAUAUCGGGAGGAACACCAGUGGCGAAGGCGGCCUACUGGGCACCAACUGACGCUGAGGCUCGAAAGUGUGGGUAGCAAACAGGAUUAGAUACCCUGGUAGUCCACACUGUAAACGAUGAUUACUAGGUGUUGGAGGAUUGACCCCUUCAGUGCCGCAGUUAACACAAUAAGUAAUCCACCUGGGGAGUACGACCGCAAGGUUGAAACUCAAAGGAAUUGACGGGGGCCCGCACAAGCAGUGGAGUAUGUGGUUUAAUUCGACGCAACGCGAAGAACCUUACCAAGUCUUGACAUCCGUUGACCGCUGUAGAAAUACAGUUUUCCUUCGGGACAGCGAGACAGGUGGUGCAUGGUUGUCGUCAGCUCGUGUCGUGAGAUGUUGGGUUAAGUCCCGCAACGAGCGCAACCCUUAUGGUCAGUUACUACGCAAGAGGACUCUGGCCAGACUGCCGUUGACAAAACGGAGGAAGGUGGGGAUGACGUCAAAUCAUCAUGCCCUUUAUGACUUGGGCUACACACGUACUACAAUGGCGUUAAACAAAGAGAAGCAAGACCGCGAGGUGGAGCAAAACUCAGAAACAACGUCCCAGUUCGGACUGCAGGCUGCAACUCGCCUGCAC